GUAACGCGUAUCCAACCUUCUGCCAGUAGGGACAGCCCGGCGAAAGUCGGAUUAAUGCCCUAUGUUCUUCAAUGCGGACAUCUAAGUUGAAGGAAAGAUUCAUCGCUGGCAGAUGGGGAUGCGUCCGAUUAGCUUGCCGGCGGGGUAACGGCCACCGGGGCGACGAUCGGUAGGGGUUCUGAGAGGAAGGUCCCCCACACUGGUACUGAGACACGGACCAGACUCCUACGGGAGGCAGCAGUGAGGAAUAUUGGUCAAUGGGCGUAAGCCUGAACCAGCCAAGUAGCGUGCCAGGAUGACGGCCCUACGGGUUGUAAACUGCUUUUAUGCGGGGAUAAAGUGCGGCACGUGUGCCGCUUUGCAGGUACCGCAUGAAUAAGGACCGGCUAAUUCCGUGCCAGCCGCGGC
rnacentral:rRNA from 1 species